GCAUAUAGCUUAUUGAUUCACGGAUAUAUAUAUAUAUAUUAUAUAUAGUGAAUAUUAAAUUUUUUCAAAGAUUAUUUGUUCAUGAGAGACACAGAGAGAAGCAGAGACAUAGCAGAGGGAGAAGCAGGCUCCAUGCAAGGAGCCCAAUGUGGGACUCAAACCCGGGAAUCCGGGAUCAUGCCGAGCCAAAGGCAGAUGUUCAACUGCUAAACCACUCAGGCAUCCCUGAAUAUAAAAUUCUUUAUUGGAUACGCAUACAGUAACUAUCUUCUCUUUUGUGAUUUGACUUUUCGUUCUUUUACUGAUGCCUCUUGUUUUAUUUUUUUCUAUCUCCAGUUUACCCAGACUUAUAGAUUGUGUCCUUCCAGGAUCCAGACUGAGAGCUUGUGAUGCUUAACCCAUUGUUAGCUAGUUUUGUUUACCUGGAAUCUUUGAAAAUGGAGAUAAAUGGAAGGUUACUUAAAAUGCUCAAAUAUAAAAAGGAUGCUGCUAUUAUUUCAAUUUGGAUAUUCUGUGGCUUCAGUGACAUUACCACAUUCCCAGUUGAUGCAGUCAUCAUCAAAUACCACUGACUAAAGCAAAGAGUUUUGAAUUAUUCAGGUAGCUUGCUCUCUUUUCAUAUGGAUAAUCACCUGUUAAAAUUAUAUAGCAAGAUUGUUUUGUCACUGUAUUUUUUGUAUCUCUUAGGUGUAUCAUCUUGGAAAGUGGCAGCACAAGAAUUUCAGGUUCCCAGUGGAUCCUGGUGGGGGCUGGAGAAGUCGAGGGCAGGAUUACAGCCAUUCCUGACUCAAGAUGAAUCAGUCUUUGCUUGGAGACCAGUUUUUAAUGAGAGAAGGGAAAAAAGAAGAAAUGAAACAAGAGAGCACACCAAAAAUCACUGUGUUUGAACUCAUACUCCAGGACCCUAGAAUCCAUAAUAAUUUUGUCUAAUCUAAUACAUAAGCAAGAAUCACUUCGGGAGCAUUGUAAUAGAGGACCAAGACAGUUUCCAGGUAUGCCAGCCAUGUUUUCUUUCCUUUACCUUGUAUGUGGUUCCCAGCAAGAUAAGAGUUGAAAUGUUGGAUCCUAAUAGGCUAAGGAUCCUCUCCAUGACUUGAUUUCAUUAUAUUGCAUUCAAGAUAGAAGACCCCAAUUGGGCCUGACUUUCAAGAGGAUAGAAUCACUAUGCAGUCAAACAUCUAAACUGUUAGGUAUAGUCUUUUUUUCUCACUUUCAUUUUGCAG
rnacentral:lncRNA from 12 species